AGAUUGAACGCUGGCGGCAUGCCUAACACAUGCAAGUCGAACGGCAGCGCGGGUAGCAAUACCUGGCGGCGAGUGGCGGACGGGUGAGGAAUACAUAGGAAUCUACCCUGUCGUGGGGGAUAACGUAGGGAAACUUACGCUAAUACCGCAUACGACCGAGAGGUGAAAGCGGCGGACCGCAAGGCGUCGCGCGGCUGGAUGAGCCUAUGUCCGAUUAGCUAGUUGGCGGGGUAAGAGCCACCAAGGCGACGAUCGGUAGCUGGUCUGAGAGGAUGAUCAGCCACACUGGGACUGAGACACGGUCCAGACUCCUACGGGAGGCAGCAGGUGGGGAAUAGUUGGACAAGUGGG
rnacentral:rRNA from 1 species